GUACCGGACUGGUACAGCUCGUUCUGGGGUGCAAGGACCUCAGGCGUUAUCUCUGGCCAACCUCGGGUCCUUAAAGACUGUGAAUUAUACCCCGGCUCUACAGGAGGCGCUCAAACACUGCACACAGCUCAGGGAGUUCAGGUUGGAGCAGCCGUACUUCAGCGCCAAUGCCGCCUUCUUCGACGCGCUCGCUCACUGCCGCCUCCUCCGGCGCUUCUGUCUCGUCUCGCGCCACGGAACGUUCCAGCACCCGGCCGCCGUCGGUUUCAUGCAGCACUGCGAGGACGUCAUCAUGUUCCACAUGUUCACGGGCGGCACUCUGGUGGCCUGCAAAACGCUGCAGAAAACGCUGCUGGACGGUUUGUCUGCAUCCCGUCCAGCCCUGAGUGUGGUGGUGUACCCCCUUCUCCACGAGGACUUAGGGAACGUGAUCAGGGAAAUGCCGGCUCUGCCAUCUGGACGAGAUCACGCUCUUCAAG
ensembl:lncRNA